rnacentral:rRNA from 1 species
GACGAACGCUGGCGGCGUGCUUAACACAUGCAAGUCGAACGGAAAGGCCCUGCUUUUGUGGGGUGCUCGAGUGGCGAACGGGUGAGUAACACGUGAGUAACCUGCCCUUGACUUUGGGAUAACUUCAGGAAACUGGGGCUAAUACCGGAUCGGAGCUCCUGCUGCAUGGUGGGGGUUGGAAAGUUUAGGCGGUUGGGGAUGGACUCGCGGCUUAUCAGCUUGUUGGUGGGGUAGUGGUUUACCAAGGCUUUGCCGGGUAGCCGGCCUGAGAGGGGGACCGGCCACAUUGGGACUGAGAUAGGGCCCAGACUCCUACGGGAGGCAGCAGUGGGGAAUAUUGCACAAUAGGCGGAAGCGUGAUGCAGCAGCGCCGCGUGCGGGAUGACGGCCUUCGGGUUGUAAACCGCUUUCGCCUGUGACGAAGCGUGAGUGACGGUAAUGGGUAAAGAAGCACCGGCUAACUACGUG